AGCGAACGCUGGCGGCAGGCCUAACACAUGCAAGUCGAACGAACCUUUCGGGGUUAGUGGCGGACGGGUGAGUAACACGUGGGAACGUGCCUUUAGGUUCGGAAUAACUCAGGGAAACUUGUGCUAAUACCGAAUGUGCCCUUCGGGGGAAAGAUUUAUCGCCUUUAGAGCGGCCCGCGUCUGAUUAGCUAGUUGGUUGAGGUAAUGGCUCACCAAGGCGACGAUCAGUAGCUGGUCUGAGAGGAUGAUCAGCCACAUUGGGACUGAGACACGGCCCAAACUCCUACGGGAAGCAGCAGUGGGGAAUCUUCCGCAAUGGGCGAAAGCCUGACGCAGCCAUGCCGCGUGAAUGAUGAAGGUCUUAGGAUUGUAAAAUUCUUUCACCGGGGACGAUAAUGACGGUACCCGGAGAAGAAGCCCCGGCUAACUUCGUG
rnacentral:rRNA from 1 species